rnacentral:rRNA from 1 species
AACGAACGCUGGCGGCAUGCCUAACACAUGCAAGUCGAACGAGACCUUCGGGUCUAGUGGCGCACGGGUGCGUAACGCGUGGGAACCUGCCCUUAGGUUCGGAAUAACUCCCCGAAAGGGGUGCUAAUACCGGUUAAUGUCUUCGGACCAAAGAUUUAUUGCUUUUGGAUGGGCCCGCGUUGGAUUAGCUAGUUGGUAGGGUAAAAGCCUACCAAGGCGACGAUCCAUAGCUGGUCUGAGAGGAUGAUCAGCCACACUGGGACUGAGACACGGCCCAGACUCCUACGGAAGGCAGCAGUAGGGAAUAUUGGACGAUGAACGAAAGCCUGAUCCAGCAAUGCCGCGUGAGUGAUGAAGGCCUUAGGGUUGUAAAGCUCUUUUACCCGGGAUGAUAAUGACAGUACCGGGAGAAUAAGCUCCGGCUAACUCCGUG